AACGAACGCUGGCGGCAUGCCUAACACAUGCAAGUCGAACGAGACCUUCGGGUCUAGUGGCGCACGGGUGCGUAACGCGUGGGAACCUGCCCUUAGGUUCGGAAUAACUCCCCGAAAGGGGUGCUAAUACCGGAUAAUGUCUUCGGACCAAAGAUUUAUCGCCUUUGGAUGGGCCCGCGUUGGAUUAGCUAGUUGGUAGGGUAAAAGCCUACCAAGGCGACGAUCCAUAGCUGGUCUGAGAGGAUGAUCAGCCACACUGGGACUGAGACACGGCCCAGACUCCUACAGGAGGCAGCAGUGGGGAAUAUUGGACAAUGGGCGAAAGCCUGAUCCAGCAAUGCCGCGUGAGUGAUGAAGGCCUUAGGGUUGUAAAGCUCUUUCACCCGGGAUGAUAAUGACAGUACCGGGAGAAUAAGCUCCGGCUAACUCCGUG
rnacentral:rRNA from 1 species